CAUGCCCCCCUCAUGCUUGCGCGUGACACACCCACCUCUUGGGUGAGCCCAGCCUUGAGCAGAGGGCAGGUGGCUUCAUCAUGGAGGACCUCGAGCUGACGGACAGGGCGCCUGAACCAGGCCUUCCAGGAUGAGGGCUUCCGUGCCUUCUUGGCUGAGUGUGCUGCCGAGGUGGCGGCCCUGGAGCACCAAUGGGUGCUGCAGUCCAGCCAGGCUGGCCUCCACUGCUGCUAACUCAAUCUCUGCACCGUCUUCCACCUUGAUCAAAGAGAUCUGGCGUUGGCAGUCACAAGCCUGGACUCCUUGCCUUCCCUGCAACCAGCGGCAGCUCAGAUUCUUGCGGCUGCCUGAUGGCAGCUGCUGAUCCCUGCCACACUGCCUGGCUCCCAGCCACGAGGAGCUGAGCCGCUGCUGGUUGCAGGGAAGAUCUCAUUGAUCAAGGUGGAAGGGGCAGCUGGUGGUCAUCCUACUGGUCCUAGCGAAGCCUGGGCCGGGAGGCUUCGCCAGCAGCCAGGAGUUUGUGACCACUGCCACCUCCGCCAGAUCUCUUUGAUCAAGAUGGAAGGGGACAGCUGGUGGUCGUCCUACUGGUCCUGGUGAAGCCCGGGCCGGGAGGCUUCGCCAGCAGCCAGGAGCAGGCCGGAGACAGAGCGGAGGGUGACGACCUGGGGGAGAGAGUCUGACUGGGCAAACUACAGUUCCCGUGGGCUGCAGCGAGGCACACAGACUCCAUCUCCCAUCAGGCCCGGCUGCGUGCCCUCCCUUGUUGCUGGGCAAUGUGGUGUACUCAGGGGCCGGCUUUUCCCAAGGGAGCAAGUGAGUCACUUCUGGGCAGGAAGGAAGCCCCCGCUGAGGGGAGGCGGCACGAUGACCCUCAGUGGGCUCCUUCCCGCGCUCCUCACCAUGCAGUCUGCAAAGAGUGCAGCCUGGGAUGGCCCCGGCGAGGCGAGGCUGGAGCUGGCGCGCUCCUGGGCCACCUCACCUUCCGUCACCUUCUUGCUAUGAUGAGCAGGCCCCACGGGAACCGGACAGGGAAGGCCUGGGCGAGCUCAGCUUCAGCCCAGAUGAAGAGUUCAAGCAGGAGGAAGAAGAGUCCUCUGAGCCCAUGGAGUGUCACACCACACCCUAUAGUGUGUGUACUCCUUGAAGAGACGGCUGUGCGAAGGAUGGAAGAGGCCAAGUCCUCCCAGAAAGUUGUAAUUGCCCCUGUCAAUCUGUCUUACAUAACCUCCCCUGGGGCUUGGUUCAUACAAUGCUAA
rnacentral:lncRNA from 1 species